GCAAAAGUUCAGAAAUCAAGUUUGAAGCUCUGAAUUUUUUUCAAAUAAACGAGUCACUACUAGUAUCGAUGCUAAGCGUGACUCUAUCGUAUGCGAUUACACUCCACGGACUAUUUUUGAAUUAAUAUUAAUUAUAUGAUUAGAACACUUAUCGGAUGAUUGAUGGCUGCAAAAUCUUAAAGCAUGGGCUUUUCAAAUAGUAUUAUAGAUAGCUUGGACUAAUGCAGGCUGACAAGUUUGGGC